rnacentral:rRNA from 1 species
UACGUAGGGUGCAAGCGUUGUCCGGAAUUAUUGGGCGUAAAGAGCUCGUAGGCGGUCUGUCGCGUCUGCUGUGAGAACUCGGGGCUUAACCCCGGGCCUGCAGUGGGUACGGGCAGACUAGAGUGCGGUAGGGGAGACUGGAAUUCCUGGUGUAGCGGUGAAAUGCGCAGAUAUCAGGAGGAACACCGGUGGCGAAGGCGGGUCUCUGGGCCGAUACUGACGCUGAGGAGCGAAAGCGUGGGGAGCGAACAGG